rnacentral:lncRNA from 1 species
GUUGGGAUUGAUUUUGGGAGUUUUGGUUCCAACAGUUUAGGAAUUAAGGGCCAAAAAAGGGCCAAAUAAGCCAUUAUUCUUGGUUUCGCACAUAACUUUAGUAUAAGUAAAUAGAAAUUGAUGAAAUUUUAACACAAGGUUUAUGACCACAAAAGGAAGGUUGGGAUUGAUUUUUGGAGUUGAGGUCACAACAGUUUAUGAAUUAGGGGCCAAAAAGGGGCCCAAAUAAGCAUUAUUUUUGGUUUUUGCACCAUAACUUUAGUAUAAGUAAAUAGAAAUCUAUGAAAUUUAAACACAAGGUUUAUGACCAUAAAAGGAAGGUUGGGUUUGAUUUGGG